GGACCUAGGAGACCUAGGAUAGUAAACCGUAAGGACUUACACUCGUGAGAGACGAGGACUUGUACGUGUGGCGAAAGAUAAAUCGAUUGGGUCAAGUUUAGUAAACCUCUAUGACGGAUAUUAGAGGUAGAUUCAAGGUUCAAUUUAUUCUCAGCCAAGUGAGUUCAUGUUGGGUCGACACAACAUGAAACCGAGGGAUGGGAAUAAACUUCCUUGCAUGACUUUCGCCCGAUUUGAGUCGGUAUUAAUUAUUUCGUAUUCGACCCAGGAGGUCGAGGACUAACUGAGUUGUCGUGUUUCAGGAAGCGAUGGCGCCGCGUAGGCGAUCUUCGUCUAGAUCGGCGCGGGAUAGGACAAGUGGUGUCCCUGAGAAGACUGAGGCGAGCGGAGACUUGGAGCUUCGUGAGCAGUUGACCACACUCGUGGGAGUGGUGAGGCAACAGGCGGAUGUAGUGCAGCGUCAGCAGGACGCUGCUCUGCGCCAAGAUGAGCGGAUAAAGAGACUCCAGGAGACGGUGGAUCAGUUAGUGACUGCACCAGUUUUGGCUCGUCGUGUACGGCCAGGAGUCGCAGCGGAGGCAUUCCAGUCGGGCUCGAGCAAUCCGACUGCUCUUAGUUCAGAGAUGGAAGCGGAAAGGGAGCGUGCUUUGGCGGCUCUCAUGACCUUCAAGAAGUUUGAUCCUACUACUUUCGAUGGAGAGGACAUAGAUCCAUGGACUGUGGAGUCGUGGAUUGAUUCCAUAGAGACUGUCUUCGAGGAUUUGUACAUGGUGGAGCGGGACAAGGUACACCUAGCCGUGCAUUGUCUACAAUUGUCGGCGAAGGAAUGGUGGAAAGGCGUUAAACGGAACCGAUCGCCUAGUCUCCCUCCGAUGACUUGGCAAGAAUUUCGGGAGUUGAUACUUUCAGUUUAUUUCCCCGAUAGUGAAAAGAGAAAGCUUCGGGACAGAUUUCGAAAAUUGCGGCAGGGAGACCGCCUUGUGAGGGAAUACGAGCAGGAAUUCUCUCGUAUCGUGAACUAUAUUCCAAGUGUGGUACGGGACGACAAGGAUCGAGCUGAUUGUUUUGUACGAGGACUUCGGCCUGGUAUUUUUGAAGCAGUGCAUAAUCUAAAGUUGCAGACUUUUGCUGAAGUCUUGGAUCGGGCCUUAUGGAUAGAACAAGGCAAUGCAUCGGUGCAGGAGGAGCGCGAAUCUUAUUACAAGGAAAAAGGAAAAGAACGACCAGCGAGUGGGUAUGAUGGUCAGUCAAGUUCUCAGCGGACCACUGGGAGUUCGCGCUCGCGAUCCCGAGCUCCGGGGACGUAUCGCAGUCGAUCCUCGGCAUGUUGUGUUAUUUGUGGGGGUCCUCACUACCCACAGCAGUGUGAGCAACGAGAUGGCAAGUGCUUCAGGUGUGGGCGGCCAGGUCAUGCGCGGGACGAGUGUCCACGAGGUGCUAACCAAGCCUUGACGCUGGCGACGGCAUUUUCACCUGCGGCACGGUUUGGAGAGCGACAGAGGAUAAGGCAACCGAGGGGUUCGCGAUGGGCAACAAGUGGUCGUGGAUAGGCGACCCAUGCGGUGGAACCUGCUGCGACUGGUAGUAAUGUAGCAGGAUAGAAGUCCUAAUGUGAAAUUGACCGCGUACAAACCUAAUUGAGGGUAAAGGAAACGCGUUGGCGAAGUCGGUUCGGCAAUCCGUCGAGCCUACGCGAAGAUAUCGCCGAAAGAAGAUUUUUCGGCUACAAUUGGCACGAGCGCGGGUCGCGAAUCUCGGGAAAGCGCGGGAAGCGAAUUUCUCGCGUCCAGGUAUCAACUAAAGGUUAGCACGUGAGCGGCGCGGCGGCGCGAGGACAGGGCGUAGCUCCGUAGAUAGCGCCCUACCACCGAGACCAGAGAUAGCAGUACCUUGAAGUGGUCUAGCAUCAGAGUUUAGAGUGUAAAUUGAAAGAAUCAAAUUUGUAGUAAAUUGUAUAAGUUGUAAAUUGUAUAAAGGCUUAUGUAAUAACUUAAAGGUAUUUGAGAUUUUGUAAAUGUAAAAUCUGUGAGAUGAAUGCUUGUAAUAGCAUUGUUAGCCUUUUA